CCUACGGGAGACUGCAGUGAGGAAUAUUGGUCAAUGGGCGGAAGCCCGAACCAGCCAAGUAGCGUGCGGGAUGACGGCCCUACGGGUCGUAAACCGCUUUUGCACGGGGAUAACACCCUCCACUUGUGGAGGUCUGCAGGUACCGUGCGAAUAAGGGCCGGCUAAUUCCGUGCCAGCAGCCGCGGUAAUCCGGACGGCCCGAGCGUUAUCCGGAUUCAUUGGGUUUAAAGGGAGCGUAGGCGGGCGUUAAAGUCAGCUGUAAAAUACCGCGGCUCAACCGCGCGCCUCAGUUGAAACUGGACGCCUUGAGUUCACAACAGGCAGGCGGAAUGCGUGGUGUAGCGGUGAAAUGCAUAGAUAUCACGAGGAACCCCGAUUGCGAAGGCAGCCUGCCGGGGUGCGACUGACGCUGAGGCUCGAAGGUGCGGGUAUCAAACAGGAUUAGAUACCCUUGUAGUC
rnacentral:rRNA from 1 species